AUUGAACGCUGGCGGCAGGCCUAACACAUGCAAGUCGAACGGUAACAGGAAGAAGCUUGCUUCUUUGCUGACGAGUGGCGGACGGGUGAGUAAUGUCUGGGAAACUGCCUGAUGGAGGGGGAUAACUACAGGAAACGGUAGCUAAUACCGCAUAACGUCGCAAGACCAAAGAGGGGGACCUUCGGGCCUCUUGCCAUCGGAUGUGCCCAGAUGGGAUUAGCUAGUAGGUGGGGUAACGGCUCAGCUAGGCGCCGAUCGCUAGCUGGUCUGAGUGGCUGACGACCCACAGUGAGACUGACACACGACCCUGACUCUGAGGGGAGACAACGAUGGGGAAGAUUGCACGAAGGGGGCAAGCCUGAUGCAGCGAUGCAGCGUGUAUGAAGAAGGCCUUCGGGUUGUAUAGUACUUUCAGCGUUGAGGAAGGGAGUAGAUUUAGUACCUGUACUCAGUGACGUUACCCGCAGAAGAAGCACCGGCUAACUCCGUG
rnacentral:rRNA from 1 species